UACGGAGGGUGCAAGCGUUAUCCGGAUUUACUGGGUUUAAAGGGUGCGUAGGAGGGCAGGUAAGUCAGUGGUGAAAUCUCCAAGCUUAACUUGGAACUGCCGUUGAUACUAUCUGUCUUGAAUAUUGUGGAGGUGAGCGGAAUAUGUCAUGUAGCGGUGAAAUGACUUAGAUAUGACAUAGAACACCAAUUGCGAAGGCAGCUCACUACACAAUCAUUGACUCUGAGGCACGAAAGCGUGGGGAUCAAACAGG
rnacentral:rRNA from 1 species